AACGCGAAGAACCUUACCUACCCUUGACAUGUCUGGAACCUUGCUGAGAGGCGAGGGUGCCUUCGGGAGCCAGAACACAGGUGCUGCAUGGCUGUCGUCAGCUCGUGUCGUGAGAUGUUGGGUUAAGUCCCGCAACGAGCGCAACCCUUGUCACUAGUUGCCAUCAUUUGGUUGGGCACUCUAGUGAGACUGCCGGUGACAAACCGGAGGAAGGUGGGGAUGACGUCAAGUCCUCGUGGC
rnacentral:rRNA from 1 species